ACGGGUGAGUAACACGUGGGUAACCUGCCUCAUAGAGGGGAAUAGCCUUUCGAAAGGAAGAUUAAUACCGCAUAAGAUUGUAGUUUCGCAUGAAACAGCAAUUAAAGGAGUAAUCCGCUAUGAGAUGGACCCGCGUCGCAUUAGCUAGUUGGUGAGGUAACGGCUCACCAAGGCGACGAUGCGUAGCCGACCUGAGAGGGUGAUCGGCCACAUUGGGACUGAGACACGGCCCAGACUCCUACGGGAGGCAGCAGUGGGGAAUAUUGCACAAUGGGGGAAACCCUGAUGCAGCAACGCCGCGUGAGUGAUGACGGUCUUCGGAUUGUAAAACUCUGUCUUCAGGGACGAUAAUGACGGUACCUGAGGAGGAAGCCACGGCUAACUACGUGCCAGCAGCCGCGGUAAUACGUAGGUGGCAAGCGUUGUCCGGAUUUACUGGGCGUAAAGGGAGCGUAGGUGGAUAUUUAAGUGGGAUGUGAAAUACUCGGGCUUAACCUGGGUGCUGCAUUCCAAACUGAAUAUCUAGAGUGCAGGAGAGGAAAGUAGAAUUCCUAGUGUAGCGGUGAAAUGCGUAGA
rnacentral:rRNA from 1 species